rnacentral:rRNA from 1 species
UACGAAGGGGGCUAGCGUUGUUCGGAAUUACUGGGCGUAAAGCGCACGUAGGCGGAUUGGUCAGUUAGGGGUGAAAUCCCAGGGCUCAACCCUGGAACUGCCUUUAAUACUGCCAAUCUAGAGUCCGAGAGAGGUGAGUGGAAUUCCGAGUGUAGAGGUGAAAUUCGUAGAUAUUCGGAGGAACACCAGUGGCGAAGGCGGCUCACUGGCUCGGUACUGACGCUGAGGUGCGAAAGCGUGGGGAGCAAACAGG